GAUUAACGCUGGCGGCGUGCAUAACACAUGCGAGUCGAACGAUGAAACUUAAAUGAUUUCUUCGGAAUGAACUUAAGUGGAUUAGUGGCGGACGGGUGAGUAACGCGUGAGUAACCUGCCUUACACAAGGGGAUAGCCGUUGGAAACGACGAAUAAUACCCUAUGAAACUAUCACUUCGCAUGAAGCGAUAGUCGAAGUGUUAGCGGUGUAAGAUGGACUUGCGUCUGAUUAGCUAGUUGGUGAGAAAAAAGCCCACCAAGGCAACGAUCAGUAGCCGGCUUGAGACACUGUCCGGCCACAUUGGGACUGAGACACGGCCCAGACUCCUACGGGAGGCAACAGUGGGGAAUUGUGCACAAUGGGGGAAACCCUGAUUCUGCGACGCCGCGUGCUUUGGUAGGCCUGCGGGUUGUAAAAAUCUUUUGUAUAGGAAGAAAAUGACAGUACUAUACGAGUAAGGUCCGGCUAAUUACGUG
rnacentral:rRNA from 1 species